GCUCCCUGACCUCUGCUGUGACUGCUACCUAGCCAGGUUAUGAGAGGAGACCCUAUAAUCUAUGUAGUGGUGUCAGCAGAAGUUUGUGAAGAGAAUCCAAUGGAAGGAAAGUUUGGAGUUGAAGAAUUCAAGGGAGUCAAUGAUUGUUACCCCUUUUGGCCCCAAACAGAAUAGACAUCUCAUCUUUUGAUGAUAUGCACAUUCAAUACUUGGUCUACCGAGAAGCUGGUGGAAUCACUUUCAAUUGAUGUAAUUCAGCAGCUGAUCUUCAGCUUGCCUUCUUCAUUUUUAAUCCAUUUCUGGACUAAGUGAUUCAGAGAAACCGGAGAUGCUGUUUUUUGGGGGAGAAGGAUUAACAUAAAGUGAAGAAGAGAAAAGAAAUAAAGUUUUCUCUCUUCUGAGAUUCUUCGAAGAUGGAACAUCUUGGAUAUUAGUAACUACAUCUCCUUUUAAUUUAGAAGAAUAUUUAUAAAAUUUUAAUGAGUGGGUUUUGCAAACAGCAAGCAGAGAAAGUGGAUUUAUACCUGCAGAAAUCCAUUUUACAUUGGACAGUAUUUC